GACUAGAGGUUAGAGUUGGGUUAGCACUAGUAUGUGGAUACAUAGGAGGAAGCUCCGACAAAGUUGGGGAUCCAGAUGGUAAAGAUGGAUUUAUUCCAGGAUAUUGAAAGGGGUGCUGCAUGGCAUGAGGAAUAGGCAGUCCUGGAGGCUGGAGUAAUGAUGGUUGUUGCAAAUGAGGAAGCCCGCUAGAUGGGGCAUAAUAUCCUUGCCAAUACAUGGGUGGCAUCACAAGCCCAGAGCCAUUUGCAGUGGGAGGCAUGGGUGAGGGACCCCAAGUACCCACGCCUCCCCCAGGCUGAUAAAGAGGCAAAUUUCCAUGAAGUGUUGACCUUGGGAGUCCUAACUGAGCUGCAUGGGAACUAAUAUCUGCUGCACUUCCACUACCAGCUGAAGGCACGCUUGUAGACGUAGAUGUCGGACCAGCAUAAUGUGAC
rnacentral:lncRNA from 1 species